UACGUAGGGUGCGAGCGUUUGUCCGGAAUUAUUGGGCGUAAAGAGCUUGUAGGCGGUUUGUCGCGUCUGCUGUGAAAAUCCGGGGCUCAACCCCGGACUUGCAGUGGGUACGGGCAGACUAGAGUGUGGUAGGGGAAACUGGAAUUCCUGGUGUAGCGGUGGAAUGCGCAGAUAUCAGGAGGAACACCGAUGGCGAAGGCAGGUCUCUGGGCCACUACUGACGCUGAGAAGCGAAAGCAUGGGGGAGCGAACAGG
rnacentral:rRNA from 1 species